UAUAAAAGUACACCGCGACUAUCGAAACACUCACACAAUCUACGGACAUCAAACCACAACUGUAUUCAACACUGAAAAACAAGAUGGCAUCUAGAACGCUUAUUGCUUUCCUAUUGGUUGGAUGUAUGCUGGUAUCUGUUGUCCUUUCACAAAAAGACGAAUGGACAGGAAUGCGGUGGGGCAAAAAAUCGUUACAAACCAAAGAAACUCAUGAUKCUGUCGCUGCCRAUGAAUUCCAAAGAUUCCGUGAAUACUUCAAACGAAAAUACGACCGAGACUUCACGCUUUAAUAAAAGAUAUCAUUUGAAAAUGUAGCUAACUCCAUGAAAAUAUCAAAUUUUGAAUUGUGACAUGAUAUUCAAGCAAAUAAAAAAUGGAACUUAAAA